UACGGGGGGUGCGAGCGUUGUCCGGAAUCACUGGGCGUAAAGGGCGCGUAGGCGGGCAUCCAAGUCUGUGGUGAAAUCCGGCAGCUUAACUGUCGAACUGCCGUGGAUACUGGGUGUCUCGAGGGAGGUAGGGGCGUGCGGAACUAUUGGUGGAGCGGUGAAAUGCGUUGAUAUCAAUAGGAACUCCGGUGGCGAAGGCGGCACGCUGGACCUCUUCUGACGCUGAGGCGCGAAAGCCAGGGGAGCAAACGGG
rnacentral:rRNA from 1 species